UAGCUAGUUGGUGAGGUAACGGCUUACCAAGGCGACGAUCUGUAGCGGGUCUGAGAGGAUGAUCCGCCACACUGGAACUGAGACACGGUCCAGACUCCUACGGGAGGCAGCAGUGGGGAAUUUUGGACAAUGGGGGCAACCCUGAUCCAGCCAUGCCGCGUGAGUGAAGAAGGCCUUCGGGUUGUAAAGCUCUUUCGGCCGAGAAGAAAUCGCAUGGGCCAAUACCCUGUGUGGAUGACGGUACCGGAAUAAGAAGCACCGGCUAACUACGUGCCAGCAGCCGCGGUAAUACGUAGGGUGCGAGCGUUAAUCGGAAUUACUGGGCGUAAAGCGUGCGCAGGCGGUUUUGUAAGACAGGCGUGAAAUCCCCGGGCUCAACCUGGGAACUGCGUUUGUGACUGCAAGGCUAGAGUACGGCAGAGGGGGGUGGAAUUCCACGUGUAGCAGUGAAAUGCGUAGAGACGUGGAGGAACACCAAUGGCGAAGGCAGCCCCCUGGGUCGAUACUGACGCUCAUGCACGAAAGCGUGGGUAGCAAACAGGAUUAGAUACCCUGGUAGUCCACGCCCUAAACUAUGUCAACUAGGUGUUGGGUGGGUAAAACCAUUUAGUACCGUAGCUAACGCGUGAAGUUGACCGCCUGGGGAGUACGGCCGCAAGGUUAAAACUCAAAGGAAUUGACGGGGACCCGCACAAGCGGUGGAUGAUGUGGAUUAAUUCGAUGCAACGCGAAAAACCUUACCUACCCUUGACAUGCCAGGAACUUGCCAGAGAUGGCUUGGUGCCCGAAAGGGAGCCUGGACACAGGUGCUGCAUGGCUGUCGUCAGCUCGUGUCGUGAGAUGUUGGGUUAAGUCCCGCAACGAGCGCAACCCUUGUCGUUAAUUGCCAUCAUUUAGUUGGGCACUUUAGCGAGACUGCCGGUGACAAACCGGAGGAAGGUGGGGAUGACGUCAAGUCCUCAUGGCCCUUAUGGGUAGGGCUUCACACGUCAUACAAUGGUCGGUACAAAGGGUCGCCAAGCCGCGAGGUGGAGCCAAUCCCAGAAAGCCGAUCGUAGUCCGGAUUGCAGGCUGCAACUCGCCUGCAUGAAGUCGGAAUCGCUAGUAAUCGUGGAUCAGCAUGUCACGGUGAAUACGUUCCCGGGUCUUGUACACACCGCCCGUCACACCAUGGGAGCGGGUUCCGCCAGAAGUAGGUAGCCUAACCGCAAGGAGGGCGCUUACCACGGCGGGGUUCGUGACUGGGGUGAAGUCGAAACAAGGUAGCCGUAGGGGAACCUGCGGCUG
rnacentral:rRNA from 1 species